rnacentral:tRNA from 1 species
GGGCCUAUAGCUCAGUUAGGUGAGAGCGCACGCCUGAUAAGCGUGAGGUCGGAGGUUCGAAUCCUCCUAGGCCCACCA